GUAGCCCCUCGGAUCAUUUUAGUAGCCCUCCUCUGGCCCCGCUCCAACAGUUCCUUAUCCUUCUUGUACUCCUAGUUUCUAAUCUUGCAAUCCUAAUUUCUAAUCUGUGCCAGAGGUAAAUAAUUGCCAGUUGUUUUGUUACCACGUUUCUGACCAAAUGGCUCUUGACUGUUUGAGCUCUCUGCAAUUUGGAGGCAUUUAUGCCGUGGCCUUCCUGCGUUACAGUGAUAACGUCAAACAGCCCCCAGAUUGGUGUAUGGUGUUGACUGCAUCUCGCCUUAAAUUCGAAUGCUCGCUCGGUCUUGAUUCGAAGUGAAUCUCUUUUCAGAUCGCUGCGUUUGGCACGCUUGUCCCCGUGUCUGCGUUUGCAAGUGGAGCGACUCGGUAUUGCUCUGCUCUCCAGCAACGCAGCUCGUGCCUGCUUACAGACUUCAAAUACCCAUUUGCCAGAGCCUGGAACAUAACCCGUGAUACAGCUGCAGCCAAGCCCUUUCUAAUAAUUUAGCAAUCUGUUCUUCCUGAAGCCUUUUUUUGAAAUGGAAGGAAAGUCCCUGUGGCCAGGGAAAUAAUCCAUUUCGUCUUGGGUUGUUUCUUUGAGGUGCUCGUCUCUUUUUGCUUGUAUAUGCCUGGCCCUGCAAGGGUCAAUCGUGCACUGAGUGAGAGCAAAUUAUAGCCGAAAUGGAGAUGGGUGCAGCUACCGAGUCUUGUCCUGGGGAAGCUCCAGGACAGAUGUGGGAUGAGAUGCAGCAAUAGUGCAUCAGGGGCAGGAGCCAGGCCCGGGAAGGGUCUGCCGGAGGUGGCUGAUCUGGGACCUCCCCUCCUUGUCCCUCGGUUCCUGGUGCUCUGAGGGUUCCUGCUGCUGCCGGGGUUGGGAGGAUGGCAGGUUUGUGAGUGUUAUCAGACCAGAAGCGGUGAUGUGGUGUUGGAAGGGAGGAGGAACUUUGCUCGCCUUAGCUGAAAAGCGCAGGUAGGCACCACUCAGCUGAGAGAUCCCUGCGCUGUGAUUUUUAACCCUUUCUUUCCAGCGUCUUGGUCAUCAACAUGGAGACUCUAUGUGGCUGUUUGCAUUUGCCUGGUUCUCCCAUUGUUGCUCUUCUUUUCAUGGCCUUCUCUUCCCCCUUCCCGGGCUCGCGUCACCCUCCAGCUUUAGGAGAUGAAAUGCUGAGAAAAACGUGUCUAAUUUGUGCGGGGAAUCUGGGAACACAAUCAGACACUUGUCACUUCCUUCUUUGUACAGAGCCUGGCACUGAAAAGUGACAUCCUGACAUGUAGGAGCAUCACAAAUCCGGAAUGGCUGGGGAGAAGCUGCUUUGGUUGACAAUCCAUAUUCCUGCCUGUUCGUUAAAAGAUGCCAGCACUUCCAGUCUAGCCAGUCAAGACAGGAGGGCUGAGCCUCCAUCUCCUCUGUACUUUUGAGGUAGAUCUGGGGCGUACCACCUCUCCUACCCCGCUCCCGGGAGCCAUGGAGGACAAACGCAACAUCCCCAUCAUUGAGUGGGAGCACCUGGACAAAAGGAAAUUCUACGUGUUUGGGAUUUGCAUGACUAUGAUGAUUCGGGUGAGCGUUUACCCUUUCACACUCAUCCGGACACGGUUGCAGGUUCAGAAGGGCAAGAGCCUAUACAACGGGACUUUUGAUGCUUUUGUGAAAAUCCUGCGGACAGAAGGGACGGCUGGGCUCUACCGUGGCUUUUUGGUCAACACUUUCACCCUGAUCUCUGGACAGUGCUAUGUAACAACGUAUGAGCUCACUCGAAAGUACGUGUCACGGUACAACAACAACAAUGCUGUGAAGUCUUUGGUGGCCGGUGGCUCAGCCUCCUUGGUGGCCCAGAGCAUCACGGUGCCCAUCGAUGUCAUCUCCCAGCACCUCAUGAUGCAGAGGAAGGGGGAAAGCAUGGGCAGGUUUAAGGUGCAGAACCAAGGUGGCAAGCGGAUGUUGGUCUUUGGCCAAACCAAGGACAUCAUUGUACAGAUUUUCAAGGCCGACGGCUUUAGAGGCUUCUACAGGGGCUACGUGGCCUCGCUGCUCACCUAUAUUCCCAACAGUGCGGUCUGGUGGCCCUUCUACCACUUCUAUGCCGAACAGCUUUCUAGCUUGACUCCUAAAGACUGUCCCCACCUCCUCCUGCAAGCUAUAUCGGGGCCACUCGCAGCUGCCACAGCUUCCACGCUCACCAACCCCAUGGAUGUCAUCAGGGCUCGGGUUCAGGUGGAAGGCAAGAGCUCCAUCAUCCUCACCUUCAGACAGCUCAUGGCAGAGGAAGGUCCCUGGGGCCUGACCAAAGGCCUCUCUGCCCGCAUCAUCUCAGCCACUCCCUCCACCAUCGUCAUCGUGGUGGGGUAUGAAACUCUGAAGAAGCUGAGCCUCCGCCCGGAGCUGGUGGAUUCGAGACACUGGUAGAGGCAGCUGGUGGAAGAAAAACCUUCUUUUGAACCCUCUGGAUCUGGACCAUCACGGUUGAAAGCUCGGGAGGAGAGGCAGCUGCUGUUUCCUUUGUCUCUCACUGGUUUCACAGUACAAGGCAGAAGCAAGAGCAACUGCAAGUCACCUCUUUAGAUUUGGUUGUAACGCAGUGCUCUGCUGUUCCUGCUUCAAACCAUCAAAACGUGACCUUUGGCAAUGCUGUUUGCCUGUGACAGUUCAUUCAGGAGCAGCCAGGUGUGCGAAACCAUCCUGGCAAGUUCUUAAAUCACUUUUUUUUUUUUUUUUUUUAAAUUAAAGACUUACUGGCUGAAGCAAAAAGCCAGUUUAUUCUUUAAAUUAUUUUAAUCUUUGCCAAACUUCCGAGGAGGGGAGUCUAACAGACUGCAGCAGAGCCCUCUGGUGGGUUGGGUGCUGAUUGCAGUUGUACUGUGGGAAGCUGGAAGAAUAGACAAAUGAAAACUUGCAAUCGAGUGAUGAAGCAAGAGGCUGCUCUUUGGGGAGGAGGAAUGAAGGGAUUGUUUGACUUCACUCUGCUGGUCUCAGUACUUGAGAUUUGCCUCCCAAUGCCAGCCCGCGCAUGGUGCUCAUCCCAGUUAGCUGUAUGUCUGAGAGGCGAGAGAUACACCUCCAACUACCAAGUCCCAGUAACAAAUCCCAGUUAGCUGUGUGUCCGAGAGGCGAGAGAUACACCUCCAACUACCAAAUCCCAGUAAGAAAUCCCAGUUAGCUGUGUGUCUGAGGGGCAAGGAUACACCUCCAGUAACAAAUCCCAGUUAGCUGUGUGUCUGAGAGGCGAGGAUACACCUCCCGUAACAAAUCCCAGUAACA